GACUGGCAGAUUAUUGCAAAAGGGCACGGGGCAGAGGGACUAUGUUGUGAGCCUGCGAAAGAAGUUUGUGUGGGGACUGUGGGCAGUGAACGCGUUGGGAACAAUAUGGAAAACUGGGAGCCGCCUUGGAAUCUACAGGGCCGGGCUGAAGAAAAGAAGAAUGGUAUUCACGCAGUUCCCAUUUUACAGAUGAAAACAAGAGGACUUUUUCUGUGAAGUCAAGAAAGUGGUUACAAUGGUACUUUCAGCCUGUCCGAAUUAUGUAUUGCCCCUCCCCUUUUUAUUAAUAACAUUGAAGUGUGAUGGGACAACCACUGAAGCCGUCAGUUGAAACCUGCUGGGACUUUUUAGCCAUUCUCUUCAACAUAAAGAAUGGGUGUUUUUGGAGGGGGUGAGAGGAAUGGGGAAAUGUUGUCAAAGAGUACAACGUUUUAGUUGAGACAGGAAGAAUAUAUUUUGUUGAGAUCUACAGCACAGCAUGGUGACUGUAGUUAACAAUGAAGUAUUGUCUAUUUCCAAAUUGCUAAGACAAUAAAUUUCAAAUGUUCUCACCACAAAAAA
rnacentral:lncRNA from 1 species